GCAGCAGAAAUCAAAUUUUAGAAUUUUUAAAAACAAACAAAUCAAUUGCUUUAAUAGUUAAAACUAUCGAACCAAAAUCCAAACCCUAGAAUCACCUUGCUGAUGUCAAUCAAAACAAAAAUAAGCAUACAAAAAGAUAGAAUUUUAUGCUUUCACCAAAAAGUAAUAUGACACUAUGGUGAUCUCCACAAGACUUCAAAGUAGA
rnacentral:lncRNA from 1 species